rnacentral:lncRNA from 1 species
UGUUCGCAAUCAGCAAGAGAUUAAUUCAUGACCCGAGUCCGAAACUCCAUUAGUGUCUGUAUAUCAGUUUUUUUUCUCUCAGAAAAAAGUCUGUAUAUCAGUUUCAGAUAGUAAUGUUCGUAAACCCAUAAUUUGAUUAACUGUAACCUGUAACUCGAGAAUCCCACUACCGGAUUGAACCGUACCCCGUAACUCAGUUACGGUUGUAACCAUCCCCAGCCGCCUGUGGCCGUAACUACCCACACCGACAAAAUAUCAAGUGUCAAAGCUAGCUAUAUUGCUUUUCCAAAAAGCUUGGAUCUACUGGUGAUGCAGGAGGCAACAGGCCGAUACUGAUUGAUGAUAACGAGAGGAUAAUUGAUAGUAUCUGCACAUUGGCACCUUCUCAGACAACAUUAUAUGAUAAUGCCGUCACAUUUUUUGUUUUGUUUUUUAGAACCCGACAGAUUCAUUGAUCACAUCCAGCCUACCGAUGGUUGAGGUUGAAACUCUUCUGGCUUCUUGCUUCUUGCUUCUUGCUUCUUGCUUCUUGCUUCUUGUUUGUGUUAUCUGCAUGGACAUUAGCCUUUGAGGCUAUGUUCGGUUCCGCAAGAGAGCCAGGGUUAGGUGCACAGUUGCAAAAAUCUAGUGUUGCCUUAAAAGAGACGCGUAAUGCACGUAUUCAGUGCCCUGUUCUAAUAUCGAAACUUGUAUAUAUAGUACCUGGAAGUCGAUGACAAGGUUCACAUGUCGACCUAC